rnacentral:rRNA from 1 species
AUGCGCAAUCAAUGCGCCAGUAGAACAAUGGUGCCCCGGUGGUGGCUGCUGAUUCUCUGCCUCGCCGGCAACGUACUCCAUGGUCGCGCACAGCUUGACAGCAGAGGUAUCUCUCUCUUCUGUUAUUGGCUUCUCUCUCUUAAUCAUGCUGCCUCAUUUACAUUGCAUAUUCAUUGUGCAGGUUUCAUCAACAUAGACUGUGGGCUACAGGGAGAGGAGAGCUACGUCGACGACGAGACAAAGCUGGUGUACGUCUCAGACGCUGGAUUCACCGACACCGGCACGCCUUACAACAUCUCGGCUGAGAACUUCCGGCCAUGGCGGUCCAGGAACGUCCGCAGCCUGCGGAGUUUCCCCGAUGGCGUUCGCAACUGCUACACAUUAGGAUCCCUGGUGUCGGGCCUCAAGUACCCCUUCCGUGCCACGUUUCUCUAUGGCAACUACGACGGCCUUAACAAGCGACCAACGUCGUUCGACCUAUACAUCGGCGUCAACUUCUGGACGGCGGUGAACAUGUCGUGGUGGGGGUUGGACCAGGACAAUAGGGCGACGGUGGAGGCAAUCGUAGUCGUGCCACACGACUUGGUGCAGGUGUGCCUGGUGAACACCGGCGGCGGGACGCCCUUCAUCUCUGGGCUGGAGCUGAGGCCGCUGAAGAUGUCGCUCUACCCACAGGCAGUGGCGGAGCUGGGGCUGUUCCUCCUACGCAGGCGAAACUUCGCCGCGAUAAAUGGAACUAUCAUCAGGUUCCCCGAUGAUCCAUACGACAGGCUAUGGUACCCUAGGUCCGACGCCACGAUGUGGGCGGAGAUGACGACGACCGAGAGGGUGAACGACAUCGACGGCGAUGAGUUCGAGGCACCCAUGGCGGUGCUGCAGACGGCGAUCAAGCCGCUGAACGCCUCCGGUAGCAUCAAGUUCGGCUGGGAGGUGGCGCCCGAGCUGAACAAUGAGUCGCCGGGGCCGGGGUACCUCGCCGUCUUGCACUUCGUCGAACUGGGGCUCCUCGGCGGGGAUGCCUUGCGCCAGUUCAACAUCAGUGUCAACCACGACGAAAGCUGGGCCCCGGGCUACACGCCGCCAGGCUAUCUCCACAGAGCCUAUGUCUACAAUAAAUUCACCAACCCGCGUGACAGCGGCUACAUCGUCACCAUCAAGGCCACAGCCAAUUCCACGCUGCCGCCCAUCAUCAACGCCUACGAGUUGUUCUCCGUCAUCGCCACCACCAACGUUGGAACAGAAUCCCAGGAAGCAUCCGCCGUCAUGGCGAUCAAGGCCAAGUACGGGGUGAGGAAGAACUGGAUAGGUGACCCAUGCUUUCCCAAGACUAUGGCAUGGGAUGGGUUGACCUGCAGCUAUCCCGCUGCCAACCCUCCAAGGAUCACAAGCAUAAACAUGUCCUCCAGUGGUCUAAAUAGUGAUAUAUCAUCAUCUUUCGCACAUCUAAAGGCUCUCCAGUACUUGGAUUUGUCAAACAAUAACUUGACAGGUUCAAUUCCAGAUGCCCUUUCACAGUUACCAUCAUUGACAGUCAUAGAUUUGUCUGGCAACCAACUCAAUGGUUCAAUUCCCUCUGGACUUCUCAAAAGAAUUCAAGAUGGCUUCCUGGUUCUAAGACAUGGCAACAAUCCAAAUCUUUGCACCGACCGCAAUUCAUGUCAGCUUGCUGCUAAAAGGAAGAGCAAACUGGCCAUCUAUGUUUCGGUCCCUAUACUUGUCAUCGUGCUGAUAGUAUCAGUGUCCCUACUAGUCUUGUUCUUCCUAAGACGGCGAAACCAGCAGCAAGGAUCAAUGAAAAAAAGGACGGCGGUAAAGCCACAAAAUGAAGAGGCGGUGUCAACGAGCUACGGCGGCAAUGAUGAUUCUCUGCGACUAGUUGAGAAUCGCCGGUUCACGUACGAGGAACUCGAGAGGAUAACCAAUGCCUUUGACCGGGUCCUUGGCGAAGGAGGGUUCGGCCGUGUCUAUGAUGGCUUCCUGGAGGAUGGUACUCAAGUGGCGGUGAAGUUGCGGUCUCAUUCCUCCAAUCAAGGCGUCAAGGAGUUCCUCGCAGAGGCUCAGAUUUUAACCCGGAUUCAUCACAGGAAUCUUGUCUCGAUGAUUGGUUACUGCAAGGAUGGGGAGUAUAUGGCACUUGUGUACGAGUACAUGGCACAAGGGACCCUACGAGAGCACAUUGCAGCAAGCGGUCGCAAUGGAGGAUGUUUACCGUGGAGGCAGAGACUCAAAAACGCGCUUGAAUCUGCACAAGGGUUGGAGUAUCUGCAUACGGGUUGCAACCCGCCUCUCAUCCAUAGGGAUGUCAAGGCCACCAACAUUCUGCUGAAUGCCAGGCUAGAGGCCAAGAUCGCUGAUUUUGGCUUGACGAAAGCCUUUGACUACCACAGCAACACCAAUCUUUUCACGAACACGCUCGCUUUUACUCCCGGGUACGUUGAUCCAGAGUACCAGGCCACGAUGCAGCCAACGACCAAGAGCGACGUGUACAGCUUUGGAGUGGUGCUUCUGGAGCUGGUCACCGGGAAACCAGCCAUUCUAUCGGACCCAGAGCCCACAAGCAUCGUCCAAUGGGCAAGGCAGCGGCUGGCGCGCGGCAACAUGGAGGGCGUGGUGGACGCGCGGAUGCAGAGUGGUUAUGAUAUCAACGGCGUGUGGAAGGUGGCGGAGAUUGCACUCAAAUGCACCGCACAGGGGUCAGCACAGCGGCCCACCAUGGCCAACGUGGUGGCGCAGCUACAGGAGUGUGUGGAGCUCGAGGAGGGCCGCCCUCCUAGCUUCCACACCGGUGGCAGCAGCGGCGACGAGAAUUACAAUGCUUACGCUAGUGCGCAGGCCACCAACGUGAGCAACAAUUCUGCAUUCGAAACGGAGCUGAGGAUACCAACAUUGGCCACCGAUCCAGGCCCGACAGCACGUUGA